rnacentral:rRNA from 1 species
UACGGGGGGAGCAAGCGUUGUUCGGAUUUACUGGGCGUAAAGGGCGCGUAGGCGGCCAGCACAAGUCAGUUGUGAAAUCUCCGAGCUUAACUCGGAAAGGUCAACUGAUACUGUGCGGCUAGAGUGCAGAAGGGGCAACUGGAAUUCUUGGUGUAGCGGUGAAAUGCGUAGAUAUCGGGAGGAACACCAAUGGCGAAGGCAGCUCGCUGGGACGGUACUGACGCUGAGACGCGAAAGCGUGGGGAGCAAACAGG